GUCCGGCUAGCUCAGUCAGUAGAGCAUGAGACUUCUAAUCUCAGGGUCGUGGGUUCAUGCCCCACAUUGGGCA